CCCGGGGUCCUGAGAUCAAGCCCUGCAUCAGGUUCCCUGCUCAGUGGGGAGCCUGCUUCUCCCUCUCCUAUUCCCCCUGCUGGUGUGCCCUCUCUCUCUGUCCAACAAAUAAAUUAGAUCUUUUAAAAUAAUAAUAAUAAUAAUAAUAAAAGAAUAUGCACUCUCUUGGGGCACUUACUUUGGUUCCCUUGCAGGCUGCCAUGUUGUGAAAACACUCAAGCAGCCCUGUGGAGAGGCCUGUGGAGGGUGGGGGGGCUGAGACCUCUGCCCAGCGGCCAGCACCGAUUUGCCAGCCAUGUGAAUAAACCCCCUUGCAAGGGGCUCUCUGGCCUUCGGAUGGUAGCUAUUUGACCAGGUGCAAGGUGCAGUGACUUUUAUGAACUAUCCUCUGAGGUCAUGCUCCCCCAUUUCCUCAAUGUCCCCGGGGUCGUCCAGUCAGCCUUAUUCUGUGUGGAAGGAACCAUGGAGAAUACGAUUGCUGGGAGGCUGGAGUCCCUGGGGCCAUCUUGGGGUGAGAUACUUGCCCAGUGGAAGCCUUCUUCUAGUAAACAGUAGUCACUAAACUAACGUCUAUCCUUGUACUUGUUAGGUUAUGCACACUGCUGAAUGGUGCUUUUCGUGUGUACUGGCUCAUUUAAUCUUCCCAACAACCCUUGAGUCAGGAGACAAUCUCACAUGUGGCUCGCAGCUGACUCCUGCAGGGGCUCAGAUAAACGAAGCGAGGACAAAUACCAGCUGGGCACCUUUACAGCAUUCUGUGUGGGUAGGGGAUGGAGCCAGAUGGAUGUUCCUCGGCCCCUUUAUUUAUGGAAGGCCUCACUCACUUUCCAACAGGAUGAGAGAGGGUGGGAGGGGGUGCUGGGAUGCUGUGUCCGGGGGAGGAAACGGGAUGUAUGAGCGAGGGGACUCUUGUGACCCACUGCGUGUGGGCGUGGUCACUGGCACCCGUCUCUCUCUUCCAAAAGCCCUGGGUGUGUUUGGUCCCAGCAAGUGAUAAUAACAGGAAACACAACAUCUCCACGAGCCAAGUGCCCUUGUAAGUGCAGUAGGUAGCGAUCUUUUGAGGUCCGUGUGCUAGCAUUCCCAUUUUACAGAUAAGGCAAGUGAGUCACAGAGAGAUUCAGGACCGUGCCCAGGUUCAUCGAGGUGUAAGUGGCAGAGCCGGGACUACAGACCUGGGCAGUCUGGCUCCAGAGUUUGCAGCCACCAUUUCCACGGAUUUUCAAAGCAGGGGCAUCCUUGAGGCCAUGUGGCUCAGGCUGUCCCUAACUUACUCACUCCUGAACCACCUUCAGGAUCUUUGCAAAAUCUGUGUCCCACCUCUGAUGUUAUGGCUUGACUUUUUUCUUCGUGAUUCACAGGUUUAGUUUCAUGCAUGUAUCUUGAAUGAAAUCUUGAUAUACCUACGAGAGAUAAAAAAUCGUCAUCAUUUGCCAUAAAAAAUAGAACGGAAAUGUCAGAAUAAUUCCAGUGAAAACUAC
rnacentral:lncRNA from 1 species